rnacentral:rRNA from 1 species
UGUGUAGGCGGUUGUGUUAGUCUUUCGUAAAAGCCCGUGGGCUUAACCCAUGGAAUGCGGCAGAAACGGCACGACUUAGAGGAUGCGAGAGGUAUAUGGAACUCAUGGUGUAGGGGUGAAAUCCGUUGAUAUCAUGGGGAGCACCAAAAGCGAAGGCAAUAUACUGGCGCACUCCUGACGCUGAGACACGAAAGCGUGGGAAUCAACG